rnacentral:rRNA from 1 species
UUUUGCGCAAUGGGCGAAAGCCUGACGCAGCAACACCGCGUGUAGGAUGAAGGAUUUCGGUUCGUAAACUACUGUCAGCAGGGAAUAAUUUUGACUGUACCUGCAGAGGAAGCAUCGGCUAACUACGUGCCAGCAGCCGCGGUAAGACGUAGGAUGCAAGCGUUGUCCGGAAUUAUUGGGCGUAAAGAGUUCGUAGGCGGUUGCCUAAGUCUGAUGUUAAAUACUAGAGCUCAACUCUGGCAUGGCAUUGGAAACUGGGCGGCUAGAGUGCGGUAGAGGUCUCGGGAAUUCCAGGUGUAGCGGUGAAAUGCGUAGAUAUCUGGAGGAACACCGGUGGCGAAAGCGCGAGACUGGGCCGUAACUGACGCUGAGGAACGAAAGCCAGGGGAGCGAAAG